UAGUUGGUUGGUGCAAAAGUAAUUGCGGUUUUUGCCAUUAAAAGUAAUGUCGAAAACCGCAAUUACUUUUGCACCAACCUAAUA
rfam:Pan troglodytes isolate Yerkes chimp pedigree #C0471 (Clint) chromosome 6, whole genome shotgun sequence.